GCUCGCACUCGCGCUUUCUGGCACUUUUCUGUGAUUUUCAGUUUGGGGACGCGCACGCAGUAACACGAGCAGGCGUAGGAGUCAGAAAUAAGGAGGAAACCCCAUACAACUUGAUGUCUUGCAUGACUUGCCAUCAUGAGGAGCCAAACAAUGUGGGAUUUGGGUUUCUUAAACAGAUACUGAAAUUGCAUCUAUCAAGCCUGCUGGGUAAACGCCUCUAAAUUACAGCUGGUGUCCUCCUCAAAAGAUGGGUUGGUAUUUAGUUACAGUCAUAAAAAGAAAAGUAACAGAGAGAAGCCCAGGAUUUAGGUGGAAAGAAUAACUGAAAAGGCUCAGAAUGAAUCAUAAGCCAAGAAAGUGAGGAUGGCAGUUGAAUUAUUCUUACCUGCAAUUCAAAUGCCAUCUUGUUGUACCAAAACUUUGUCGACAUAAACACAGAAAGUCAUUGUAUGUUGAAUGUUUCUUUUCCACAGAACAAUACACUACACAGACAGUAUUUAAAAUCAACAAUGGUCUGCUUUCUGCUCCCCCCCUCGAAAACCCUUUUCCCACACUUUCAAGGUAAUAAGAAUCAAAGAGUCUAUUCAAAGUAAGGUCUGCCAUUGCUCUGUAGGCUAAAAGCUAAGAAGUUUUCAAUACAAAGCUGCCUAAUCUUAUAAAAUAAUUCAGCUGCCUCACUGCAGUAGUUUUCUCACCCCAGUUUGAAAUAAUGUACAUUAAAGUGAGAGAAGCGGAGAUACUGUGAACAACAAUAGAAUAGAAGGCCGCCGUGGUUCUCCUAAGUGUUACGUGGGUGAAGAUUCCCGUCAACACAAGUCGCCUGCAUGUCUUACAAUCCUCGUUUUUGCAGAGAAAGCCCCCACAUUCACCCGUGUUCAUGAACGGUUUGCACCCACCACUAGAAUGACAUCACAAGUGUAACAGGCCAAAGGGAGUUUCUUCGGCUCACUUUCUGUGACAGGGUCAGAUGAGUAGCAGUACAAGGGGACGGCUGCUAGGACCUCUGCUUCUCCAGAUCGACAGGGGCCAGCGAAAAUGCUUUGGAGGGCCUGCAGUUCCUUCGAAGGGCGAUUGUACCAGGCCAGCCACCUGAUAAAAGAGCACUGAGGGGACUUUGUCGUUAUUUUAGAAGUAUUCAUUUCCCAAGUUUUAUAGGAUAUUCUGCUCUGCACUGUAUGGUAUAAUGGUAAUACAAAAACAGCAAACAGAAAGUUGAGUUGGGGUUUGAUCGUGUUAGCCUGCCUCUCAUGAGAGCCAGCAGGGAGGACUAUAAAGAGAGGCUGAAUGUUCAGAUGUUCAGCAUCUUGUAGCCCAUACUCUGCAUUGAUCUCCAGUCAGUUCUUUUUACUCUGUUCCUCAGGACACCUCUACUAUGUACAACGUUAUUUACUAAAUAAAAUGUCUUUUUUAAAAAUUGGUUCAGAGCAUCUGUAAAUAUUUCACUGCUUCACUAUUUUAUGUAUGUGGCUCAACCAACGACAUACUAUUGUCCAUUAUUGUUUCCUGGCGUUUGUUCACUUACCAAACCCAUGUUGUAUACUACCGAGUACAAUUACCUGUGCCAGAGACUGAUAACACUUAAAGGAUGAUUUACUGUACAUUUAUUGGAUUUCUACAGGUCAUGGAUAAAAGCCACAGACACAUAUUUCUUCUCUGGUAACAUUUAGGCUAAUAAUGCAUUUCUCUUACUUUUUUCCCUUCAUGACUCCAAGCUGUGCCAGGCUGAGGGUUUAUGGUCUCUGGAAUGAAUUUUAUUUUGGAGUUGUUUGCCCCAGAAGGAAAAAAAAAAAA